rnacentral:lncRNA from 1 species
GAUUUGCCUCACUAUAAUUAUAUUUCUUUGAAGCCCUGACAAGUUUUCUUAAACAUUUUUUUCAUAUGCGGCCUUUGUUCUAGCAGGUCUUGGGAAGCAAUAUCCCACAUUAACAUGGUUGUAAUUUGGUCCUUUAGGAAGUCUGUUGUAAGCAAGGGUGGGAGAUGAGGCCUGUACCUGUUUUGUGGGAGAAUCAGAGAGAUACUAGCUUUGUGAGGAUUAAGGCUAAUUAUUCAAAGUUCACGGUCCCUUAAGAGAAAUGGAGGGUGUUUUUUUAAAAAAUUUCUUAUUUAUUAAAGCCUUUUAUUUAUAAAGCAUAUGCAUGGGUAAUUGUAGGAAGGUUUUUUCAUCGACAUCAUCCUGGGUCCUAGUGAUGGUGGGUGAUUUGUUAUUGCUCCCUUGAGGCUGUCUCAGACCUAGGGAUUGGGGAAGGAGGAGGACAGGGUGUGGUUUAUAUAUUUAUUCACUUACUUUUCUAAUAAAGAUAAUUAGGUAUCUUCAAUAUUGUGAAGUUGAUUCCUGCCUGUUAACUUUCCUGGUUUCCCUGGAAAUGUCACUGGAGGAUUAUUCAGAGUGGGUAUGAGUGAGCUCUCAAAGCUCAGGGAAUUCUGGACACAUCCAGGGAAAAAUGCCUAACUAUAUUUACCUGCCCCUAUGCACCUAGGCUUCUCCCUGAUUAUAUCCCUGGAAAGUAUUAGAGUGGUUUGGCAUUUUUGAAACUUUCUCUUCCGUUGUGGUGAAUUAGAAUAGAAUGCAAUUUGGGUGACCUUGUUGAAUUAGUUUUUUUCUGAUGUUAACGUCCUUUUAGUGUGAGUUGCAGGUGGGAAGAAAGGAAAGAAAGGGGACAGACACCCAGAGAUUAUACUGUUGGUUCUGUCACUAACCCCACUAAGUAACCUCAAAGGAUAUUAAAACUGAAUGGAAUCUUAGAGCUCAUUUAGUCCAGAAGAUGAGAUUCAUAGUUGUCAAAGGACUUGCCUAAAAUCAUGCAGAUUAGCCAAUAAGAAAAUUAGAAUACAGGUUCCUUGCAUUCAUAUUUGGAUUUUAACAGCUAGUAGUUCUAUAGCUAGCAUUUCUAUAUCUUUCAGCCUGAUUCCCCACUUUUUCCAAUUGCUUUAUUUUUUCUGGUUAUACAUAUAUAUUAACUUUUAAAAUACACAUUUCUUUAUGAAUUAUGUUGGGAGAGAAAAGUCAGGACAAACAGGAAAAACUAUGAGAGAAAAAAAAACCAGAAAAAGUAACUCUAACGUGUUGAUUUACAUUCAAUCUCCAUAGUUCUCUUUUUGGAAGCAUUUGGUGUUUUCUAUCCAAAGUUUAUUGGGACUGCCUUAGAUCACUGAGAAGAAGCCAGUCUUCAUAGCUGAUCAUCACAGAAUCUUGCUGUUAACUGUAUAUAAUGUAUUCCUGGUUCUGCUUGUUUUGCUCAGCAUCAGUUUGUGCAAAUCUUUCCAGGCUUUUCUAAAAUCAGCAUUUUUUAUAGAACAAUAAUAUUCUAUUACUUUCAUAUACCACAACUUAUUUAGCCAUUCCACAAUUGAUGGGCAUCUAUUCAUUUUCCAAUUUUUUUGCUACCACGAAAAGAACUGUUAUAAACAUUUUUCCACAUGUGGGUCCUUUUCCCUCUAUGAUUUCUUUGGGAUACAGACCCAGUAAUGAUGAUACUGAGUCAAAGGGUAUGCACAGUUUUAUAAUCCUUUGGGCAUAGUUCCAAAUUGCUCUCCAGCAUGGUUGAAUCAUUUCACAACUCCACCAACAAUGCAUUAGUAUCCCAGUUUUCCCAUAUCCCCUUCAACAUUUAUCAAAAUAGAAACCCAGGGCUCUUGCACUCAAAUUCAGACCUUUCUCUAUUAAGAGCUAGCAAUUCCAUAGCUAGUGUUUCUAUAUCUUUUAGUUUGUUUCCUCAUUCAUAAAUGAAAAGCUGGUACAAAAUGAUUUCUGACCUCUGCUAUUCUAUAAAUCUAAGAAUCAAGAUCUUCCAAUAUUAAUCCACUAUUCUGUAAAUAAAGUGAUAGAUUUGCCCUCUCCCUCAAUCCCUAUGUGAUUAUAGAAAGCAAAAAGGGCGGAUAACAGAGGUAAUAGGCUAUUAAUAUAAUUUUUUGUUUGUUCGUUCAAUGUUCUCAGUUAUGUCUGACUCUUCAUUACCUUAUUUGGAGUUUUCUUGGCAAAGAUACUGGAAUGGUUUUCCAUUUCCUUCUCCAGGUCAUUUUAUACAUGAAGAAAGUUAAGCGACUUGCCCAGGAUUAUUAUAGUUAGUAAGGGAGGCCUAAUUCAUACUCAGGUCUUCCUGACUCCAGGCUUGGCCCUCUAUCCAUUGUGCCACUUAGUUGUCCCACUGACAAGUUAAUGAAGUGUUUAUUCAUGUUAUCCCUUUAUAAAUGUGGAAAAGUUUUUCCUAAUGGAAUUAUCGAGGUAGCUGACUGCCAGACUUUGUCAUCUUAUUAGGGAGUAAGAAGGAGUUAAGGGCCAAGAUGGCUGCUUAAAUAGGAGACAGACCACCCAGAUCUCAGAUACCUAUUCCAGCAAAAACGUAAAAAUUCGGCCAGAAGCCCACAGGCAAGAGGAAAAAUGGGCCACCAGCAAAGCCAGUACCAGUCAGGCAACCACUCUAGUAGUUUCCCAGUAAAACCAGAGAAGGGCCUGAGAUAUGUGUAAUCUGCAAAGCUGUGUGUCUGGAUCCAUCCAAGAAAGCCCCAGGGUGGUCUGAGAGCCCCAGAUUGGAGACCUUGGAAACACCAUAGCCCUCAAGCCAGGAUGACUCAGGCCCAUGAGUUCCAAGGUGCUUAGCACUCUGACCUGAGAUGCCCUGGAGAGCCCUGAAAAUUCAGCAAUAUGAACCUCAAAGAUUCAAGGGAACCCAAUCCCGGGAGGUGGAGGUCAGCACAAGAACCCAGAGAACUCAGGGUGAGACCAAGCAGGGCUAACCACUCCAACCAAAAGUACUGCAAAGGGUGGGGUCUGGCCACAGCACAAAGCCUCAGCUCAGGAACUACAGUGGGAAAGAUGAAUAAACCAAAGUAGACACUGACCAUUAUAGAAAUUAUUGUAGAUCUAGAAAUGCCCCCAAGCCCAUAACUCUAUAAGUAGAGACUCAAACGAAAUAAUGAAUUUUCCAUGAGCACUACAUGAAUACCUAGAAAAAAAUGAAACAAGUGUUAACAAACACUUUGGCAGAAAAAAAUUGGAAGAAGAAUAAAUAGUUUAGAAGGGAAAGUGAUAAAACUUCCCCAAGUAACUGGAUUCCCUUUAAAACCUGAAUAGACCAAAGAAAUCAUUGACUAUAUGAGAAAGGAUGCAUAAAUGAACUCUCCUUCAUUGAAUCAGAAGGGCCAACACCCUUGGCUAGAACAAGCUUGGCCACACCCCUGGUGGCCUCUUAAAAAGUUGAGAUCACAAACUGGUGACUCAAGGAAGAGAGAAGAAACUUAUAAUCUCCAGGUAGACAGACAGGGAUACAGUCAGGCAGUAAGGAAAUAAUUUCAGGAAGGAUACUUCCUGAGGAGGACACUCCUGGCACUAGAGAAAGGAAGCACACUCUGGAUUUGAGGGAGAACAACCCUGGCAAUCAAGAACUAAGGAGAGGAGCAGACUCUGGAAAACCAGCUGAGCAAACGGCCCAGGAGAGAUGCAACAUCUUGGGGAGAGCUGCAUGAGGACAACAUGAGGAGAAAAAGGACUUUGUGGUCCUGUGGUACUGGAGUCAUAAAUUGCCCUGCCUAGUGUUCUCUCUCUCUCUAUUCCUUUCGACUCAGUUGUGCCCACUCUUCUCACAUGCUGUGUGAAUUUGUAGGGGAGUAUGCACCAGGUUUGUUGGGGAGAAAUGUUUUGUAGCAACUGUUCCUUUGAUUCCAUCUUAGGAUAUGCUUUUUUAUAUGAGUUAAUUGUGUCUACUGAUUGAUUGUUAAUGGGAAGCCCACCAGUGGGGGCUCUCAAACCAUACUUGUAGGAUCACAGACCUGUAAGGGACCCUAUAACCCAAAGUUGCAGCAGCCCUCUGGGAGAUCCAAUCCCCAAGCAUACAAGAGGUAUCCCAGAGAGGCCGCUAAAUAAAGCAAUACAAAUAUGAGUUGUUUCUGUGCAUAAUGUUCUAGAAGGCUUAAAGCAGACCAUCUGAAUUCUUUAAAUUUGAUUUUGAAACUGGAGACCAUGCUGAGCUAUUGAGAGUAAAGCCAUAUUGACAAUAAAUAGGUACAGGGGCUAGUUAUUUCCCCUGAAGAUAAUUGUGAUCAAGAGAAAGACUUUGAAUUAGAAAUUAGAUCAAAAGAAAGACUUUGAAUUAAAGAAAAGGAGAAAUAAAAAUACGGGAAAGAGAGAGGUAUGAAUCCUUUUCUCAAUGAUUUUUUUGGGAGGGGUGGGUGAAGCAAUUGGGGUUAAGUGACUUGCCCAGGGUCACACAGCUAGGACAUGUUAAGUGUCUGUGGUCACAUUAGAACUCAGGUCCUCCUGACUUAAAGGCUGGUGCUCUAUGCACUAUGCUAUCUAGCUGUCCCUCAAAGAUUCUUUAAACACCUUUACAUAGGUUAAAAAGCAGCGGCAGUUAUGAAUUGGUACAACUGUUGUGGAAGACAUUUGGGAAUGACUGAGAAGGUCAUUAAAUGUCCACACCCUUUGACUCAGAGAGUUCACUACUAGGCAUAUCGUACAUGGCAGUGAAAGACAGAAAAAGUCUCAUAUGCACCAAAAUAUUUUGGCAACAUUUUUGUGGGGAGCAAAGAAUUAGAAAUAAAAUAAAUGUCCAUUGAUUAGAGAACAGAUAAACAAACUGUAUUUACCAGAAUGUAUUGAAAUAUUACUGUGCUAUAAGAAAUGAUGACUAAGAAAAGUAAAGAGAAACAUGGGAAAACUUAUAUGAAAUGAUGCAAAGUGAAAUAAGUACUAAGAAAAUCAUAUAUAUUAUGAUUACAAUCAUAUAAUUAGAAAGAAGAAAAAGCAAAAUAGAAUUUAGUGCUAUAUAAUUGUUAAAACAAAACCCAACAAAAAACAAAAUAAAGCCAAAAACAAACAAAAAAGCCUCUGAAGAUAAGAAAAUAUGUAUUCUUCCCUUCUUUUCAAAGGUAGGGGACUAUGGGUAUGAAACAUUACAUAUACUGUCAUUUGGUCGAUGUACUGGUUAAUUUUGCCAAAGCUGCUUUUUUCCCCCUCUCUUAUUCUUUGUUAUGGGUGAGGAUCUAUUUGAAAAUGAAAGUGUUAUCCAAAUUAGAACAGAGACUUGGGAGAAGCUAGAGACUAAUGACCAAGAUAACUACUGAAGGGAAAGGUAUAUGUGAUGAGAGGUUUGAAGCUUGAAUCUUAGCCUCUCGACUGUUAAAAUAAGAGAUCAACUACAGUACUAGUUUGCCAGCACUUAUUUGGACCAGGAUCCAAUUUUACAUCCUAAUAUAGACAGAAUGUGUGGGAGGAAGUAGAGAUGGGAGAUGGUAGCUAUGUAGCUGUCUUGGGGAAUCAGUAGGGAGACAUCAUUAGGUGAAUCCCAUGCAUAUUAAAGUGACUUGUGUCUGGAGUGUGGUACCUGGGACGAGAGAUGUUUAGGGUUCUAACAUUGUCCCUUAGUUUGGCCAUAAUGACUCUUGGCAUUGCACUGAGAUGUUGAAAGAAUACUGACAACUCUCUUCUCUUUUUUUAAGAGGGAAAAGAGAUGAAGAAGGUAUAUAGCACUCUUUCUGGGAUACUCUUCCAAUUUAUACUCACACUGAUAAUGUUGAUUGAAAAUAACCAAGAAUCAUGAGUUUCCAAUGCUGUGUUUUCCAUUAAACAAAAAUCCAUUAGGCACAAAUAGUUCUUAGUAAAAGUAUUUAGGUAAAAUGGCAUACACAGAAUAAUCAUAAUGAAACAAUCUCAUCAUAAACUUGGGGCAUACUGCUCCACAAAUAUACACAGCAUCCAUAGGAAGAGUGAGCAAUGACGGUUCACAGUAAGUAGUACUGAGACAACCACGUAGAAAACACAUGUGGUAAAGACUACUCCUCCAAUAUUAUCAGGCUUGCAAAUUUUACUCUCCCAGCUGAGGCUUUACAAACUUUUCCCCUAGGACACAGUGUUUCUCUUUAGGGUCUGCUAGGGUCUGCUUCUCUCCAAGAGUCAACUUUUGAUUGCUAAGGUUAGUUCUGGCUUAAGUUCUGAGCUGACUCUCUUCUUGCUGCCAAAAGUUCCACUUCUUAAAACCAUUUUUGGCUUUGAGAGACCACCUCUCUAUUUCUUUCUGUCUGGAGAAUUUUUAUCUCUGCUUCCUCAACUAUAUCUCAAAGUCUCUAGAACUCAUUCUCCAACUGCUUGAUGAGACAACGCCUUCUGGGUGAAUAUCUCUGCUGCUGGAGAAUAUAGUCCCUUCUUCUUAUAUAAAUAGGUGAUUCUUCUUUGACUGCUGGUUCUUGUCUUAAAUUACUGGAUGGUACCUUUUAAAAGUCACUCCAAGUGUGUCCUGAUCAUUGCCUUUCAAGAAUACUGGCUCAGGUUCUGAUUCUUUUUUGACAUGAGUACUCUAAUUCCCAGAAUCUAUCACCUUCUUCCCUUUUUUGAAAAUAGAGACAAUUUACAGAUUUCUGGUCUUCUCAAACUUCCUUUUUUUUGCUGGGAUUGUUCUGUCCAUUUGACAAUCACAUUAUUAUGCUUUUCUAGUAUUCUAGAAAAGUGUUUCCCAAACUUUUUUGGUUGUAAGCUUUAUCAGCAAAAACAUUUGAGUACAUUCCCCAAAGAGAUGUAUGUUUACUAUGUAUAAAUUAUAUAUAUAAAACUACAUUAAAAAUAAUAGAGCUAAUAACAACUUAUGUAAAAUGGAAAGAAUGAGAUGAAGAUAAAAUAAGUAAUAUUUUAAAUGAAAAAUGAUUUAAUAGAAUAAGGAAAUUUUUGCUCUCAUUAAAUAUUAUUCAUAAUUUUUAAAAGUGAGAUUAUGAUUGAAUAUAUUAUUGAAUAUAAUAUUUUUCAUAAUUUCAGCUUAACAUGUAGUACUGUAGAAAUUUUAAGGUUUGGUUCAAUUUGUUUUAGACCUUGGUUUUAAUGUUUCUCCUUGCUAAACAAUGGAAAAGAUGCAUUAUUGGAUUCAUUUACUCAAUAAUCAUUUUUCAAAAAUAUCCACUAAUUAUGCAAAGAUUUUGGUUGAAGUUAAUUCCUGUUUUCCAAAUAUCAGGUGAAGGGAGUUCAAAACUUGCUUUGGAAGAUUUUUGAAAGUUCCUUGGAAUAUUUUUAAGCUGGUUAGAAAAUUCUGUCACUAAGGCUUAAAAGUGUUAAAAUAUGAAUGACACACACCAUUUUUAGCCAUCUGGAGAGAAGAGAAUUAAGUAUCCAGUGUGUCAGUAAGUCAGUCAAUAAACACAUAUUAAAUGCUAUAUUCCAGGAACCCCCAAAUUCUGGGGAUUCAAAGAAAGGCAAAAAACCCAGUUCCUAUCCUUGAGGAAUUUACAUUGUAAUGGGGGAAAAACAUGUAUAAAACCAUGUAAAGACAAGCUAUAUGCAAGAUAAAUAGGAAAUAUUCAAUAAAGAAAAGACACUAGAAUUAAAAGUGAUUGGCAAAAGCUUCCUAUAGAGGAUAAGAUUUUAGUGGGACUUGGAAGGAAGCCCAGGGAUGCCAGAGAUGGAAAUGUAGAGGGAGAGCUUAGGUCAUAGAUCAUAACUAGUGAAAAAGCCCUUAUGCUGGAAGUGGAGAAAGAUAUUGUGGCUUGGUGGUAUUGUGGAUAGAUCAGUAUGCCUAUAGGUAGGAGAAUCUGACUUUGAAUUUGGCCCCAGACACUAACUAGCUGUGUGAUCCUGGGUAAAUCAUUUAACAUCUGAUUGCCUCAGUUUCCUCAUCUGUUAAAUGGGGAUAAUAAUGGCACCCACUUCUCAGAGUUGUUCUGAGGAUCAAAUGAGACCACAAUUGUAAAACUUCUUUGCUUUGUAUAGUCUAGUGUAUAUUCUUCUUAUAUACUUUUUGGAUUUCUGUUUGAUUUGGAUUAAUGGAUUUCUAUAUUAAUUGCUAUUUGUAUUUGAUAAAGAAUUGCUACUUGGUGGAAAGAAUCAAGCUUUGUAUAUAAAUGUAACUUGGGGGUUCUGUUUUCCCCACUGAUGAACAGUGAUCUGAAAUUUAGCUUGAAUCUGAAAACUAUAUCCCUAAGACUAACAAUAUUUAAAGGAAAAGGUAGGUAUAAUUCUAGCCUAACUCUAAUCCUUCUCAUUCUCUCUGAGGAGAGCAGAAUGGCCAAAACAUCUAGUCACAACUUCUUACUUUCUCUCCAGUCAAGAAAUACAAUCUUCCUAGGAGAAUGAUCUGGGGAGAACAGGCUAGAGAUAUCUAUUCUUCCCUUUGAGCCACACAUCAUCCUUGUGAUAUGUGUGGGGGGACAGCCUUUAUAAGAAAUAUUAAUGAUACUAAGAAACUGUUAUGACAUUUAAAAACCAAGCUUCUGUAGCCCCAAACAAUUUAAGCAUGUCAUCUAUUAAAGGCAAAAAACUUCAUAUCUGUGGAGCCCUGCAUGGUGAGAGAGAUACUACUACAGAAUCCACCAGCCCCAGAUGUUCCAGAACUGGGAUUCCUGGAAAGGAUUUUAUUAACAUUUUGAUGACUGCGUUGUUGAGAUUUCUGGGAGAAAGAUGCUGGAAGAGAAGAAACUGGGUGGCUAGUAUGAUGGUUCUGAACUCUAUUUGUCACUGAGUCAACUUCUCAGAAUCAAGCACUCUCAUGGGGUACUUCUCUGUUCCUCUCUACAAUGACUCUGAAAGGCACUGCUGCUGUCAUGGUUAACAAGGCAGUAGAUGGAGAGAAAGGUUGCCACUAGUGAUUACUGUGCUAGCAGAAUGAGAUGCCCACAACUGUGUGUCAGAGACAAUAGCCUUUUAUUGUAUUUCUAGCUUUGGAGGAGAGAGCAAUAAUUGAUCGGUCUAUUCCUCCAGAAUUUUGCCUCCACUCUUCCCCUUGAAAGGAAGGAGUUAAAUCAGGUAAAAGCUGCAAUUUGCUUCAUGUAGCAGCACCCAGCACUAAAUGCAUUUAUUAACAGUGUCCCUUUCACCUUUCUCCCUCCCUGUUCUUUCUUUGCUAUCAUUGAUUGCCAUUGUUUUAUAUCCACCUACUACAUCUUCUUUAUUUAAUAUUAUCCUUACUUAUUGAGUUUGGAGAAGGUUGGGGGGAAGGGGAAUAAAUAGAAGAACAGAAAAAAAAAAACUUUUGGGUCACUCUCCAGUAAUUUUCUUUAGCAAAUUCAAUGAGAUAACCAGGAGGAGAGGUAAACAUGGAGAGACUAAUAUCCUGAAAAUGAAUCAAAUUAUGCCUCUAGAUCAAGAAAAUAGGUUCUUUGAGAGAAGGGAUUCAUUUCCAUGUGGACUGUACAGUUUUUGGUCCCUUAUAUCUAUUUUCUCUUCUAGCAGUGUACAAGUGGGUGAGGAUUUUACAUUUAGGGAAUCAUGCUAUCUACUGCCACCAUACAAGUAAUUAUGCACUUUAAUUAUUCUCUCCUUAUUCUCCUCACAAGUGGAGAUAUUAUCCCCCAUAUAUCCUAUUACAUGUGGGAGGUUCCCCAUUCAUUUACAUCUGCGCACUUAAAAUUUUUAACCUCUUUAAAAAUCUUCUAAAUGAAGAAUUUCAGUGGGAUUUUGAAAUCAUUUCUUAAAAAAAACAUAAAAAUGAUUGACAUAAGUGAAGAUGGAAAUUUACUAGCCAAAUUUCAGGAAAAACCUUUGCAUAAUUGGUGGAUGGGAAUGAAAAAUGAAUAUGGUAAUUUAGUACACAUUGUCAAGUGUGUUUCUUCCAUUUGGUUCUAUCUAUCUUUAUGAACUAUCUUUUCCAGCAACUGAUAUUCAUUUAAACAAACAUCACAAUAAAAUUGAACUUGAGGCCAGCUCUUCAAAGGACUAUUUGACAGGAUCAUGGAAUUAGUUCUAAAAGGGACUUUGGAAUCAUCUCAUCUAAUCCCCUCAUUUUAAAGAUGGAAGCUAGAAACUUCUGAAAUGACUAGAUCCUGAAGAGAUUCAAAUUCAAAGAAGAGGGGAAAGAAACUCAAAUCUCUCUUCUCUCCAACUCUAACAACUCUGCUCUGCCCACCAUGUGAAGUGCCCUGAUUUCCACCGAUGAUCAGAGUCCCAUGCCAUUGGACUUUGGAACUGGUUAUAUGUAGAUAAAUAAAUGUACUUUAAAAAUAUACUUUACAUUUUAUUCUAAGUAGAUACUCAUGUAUCUUUUUUAACUUUACUUUUUAAAAACUAAUUUACUAAAUUCACUUUUAACAUCCCCAUACAAGAAUACUAAUAAUCAAAGUCUGUAUUAUAUACACAUUUGUACUCUCUAUAUUUCCAUAUACAAAAAAGGACUGUCUAUGAUACUGGGAAAUUUGUUGCUUUUUUAAAAAAAGUAUAGAAUAAUUUCAAUGGGUUGCUUUCACAAGUAUCUUGACUGUGCUUUCACUAAAUCUCCUCUUUGUGAAUUUAAAAAAAAUAUUUCAGUUGAUCUUUUUUGAAAAAUGGCAUCCCCUUUUCUAUCGAGCUAAUGCAUGCUCACUAUUUGAUUCCAUCCACCCUUCUAUUACAGAUUCAUACUUCCCAGACCUACCCUUUUAUCAUUUCUUAUGUAACAAUAACAUUACAAUUUAUUCAUUUUCUACAAUUUCAUCUGCCAUGCCCCUAUUGACAUGCCCUCAGUUUCCAGUUCUUUAUGUUUUUUCCUCAUUCCACCCCAAUCCCUGCCUUCAAUAAAGUUUACCAAAAGUGCUAGUUGCCAUUAAAAUCCAACUAUUUGGGAUUCGAGCUUGUUUUGAUUCAUGAUCUUUUGUUCAAAAACUUCAGAAAUUCUCUGGAGUUAGCAGGAAUGUUCCCCAUAGAACUAAGAGACAUGACCCAGGCUGGGGAUCUGGCCAGUUUCCCCUUUCAUGGGCCCCUCUGCUGAAAGGGAGUUAUAUGUUUCUCUCCAUCUCAUGUAACUUUAGAAAGACCACAGGCAGCUCCACAGAAGGGAAGAAGUGAGAAAUAUUACCAUAAAUACUACAUUUAAAGAACACUCCAUUCACGUAGCAGCAAACCCUGGGCUCCCAGAACAACAUUAUUUUUUAUUUAGCUAAGAAAACUUAUUUGCCUUUUUGGAGAGGUUUCUAAGAAGCUGGGUUGGGAAAUCAUAAUCACAGAAUGUUCAAGCUACAAGGGACCUUCGAGAUCAGCUAAUUCUAUCCCCUCAUUUUGCAGGAGAUUGAGGUUGAAAUAACAUGGAAAUUUAGAAUGAUUUAGAGUCUGUUUUCUUUCUAAGGCCAUAUUUGUCCAAGGAGAACAGUCCUGGGUGAAUUUAUUUCAGGGGAUCAUUUUUUCGUACAUGAUAAAAACAUACCAAAUACCUAAAUCUGGCUGAAAUAAAAAAUACCAAACUCAAAUGAAAAGCCCUCAUUUUUUUCAGAGAAUCCCAGUCCAUAAUAGCAAUACUUCUACACUGAUUUUUAUUUUUUAAAUAAA